rnacentral:rRNA from 1 species
GACGAACGCUGGCGGCGUGCUUAACACAUGCAAGUCGAACGGAAAGGCCCUGCUUUUGUGGGGUGCUCGAGUGGCGAACGGGUGAGUAACACGUGAGUAACCUGCCCUUGACUUUGGGAUAACCUCAGGAAACUGGGGCUAAUACCGGAUAGGAGCUCCUGCUGCAUGGUGGGGGUUGGAAAGUUUCGGCGGUUGGGGAUGGACUCGCGGCUUAUCAGCUUGUUGGUGGGGUAGUGGCUUACCAAGGCUUUGACGGGUAGCCGGCCUGAGAGGGUGACCGGCCACAUUGGGACUGAGAUACGGCCCAGACUCCUACGGGAGGCAGCAGUGGGGAAUAUUGCACAAUGGGCGGAAGCCUGAUGCAGCAACGCCGCGUGCGGGAUGACGGCCUUCGGGUUGUAAACCGCUUUCGCCUGUGACGAAGCGUGAGUGACGGUAAUGGGUAAAGAAGCACCGGCUAACUACGUGCCAGCAGCCGCGGUGAUACGUAGGGUGCGAGCGUUGUCCGGAUUUAUUGGGCGUAAAGGGCUCGUAGGUGGUUGAUCGCGUCGGAAGUGUAAUCUUGGGGCUUAACCCUGAGCGUGCUUUCGAUACGGGUUGACUUGAGGAAGGUAGGGGAGAAUGGAAUUCCUGGUGGAGCGGUGGAAUGCGCAGAUAUCAGGAGGAACACCAGUGGCGAAGGCGGUUCUCUGGGCCUUUCCUGACGCUGAGGAGCGAAAGCGUGGGGAGCGAACAGGCUUAGAUACCCUGGUAGUCCACGCUGUAAACGGUGGGUACUAGGUGUGGGGUCCAUUCCACGGGUUCCGUGCCGUAGCUAACGCUUUAAGUACCCCGCCUGGGGAGUACGGCCGCAAGGCUAAAACUCAAAGGAAUUGACGGGGCCCCGCACAAGCGGCGGAGCAUGCGGAUUAAUUCGAUGCAACGCGUAGAACCUUACCUGGGUUUGACAUGGAUCGGGAGUGCUCAGAGAUGGGUGUGCCUCUUUUGGGGUCGGUUCACAGGUGGUGCAUGCCUGUCGUCAGCUCGUGUCGUGAGAUGUUGGGUUAAGUCCCGCAACGAGCGCAACCCUUGUUCACUGUUGCCAGCACGUUAUGGUGGGGACUCAGUGGAGACCGCCGGGGUCAACUCGGAGGAAGGUGGGGAUGACGUCAAGUCCUCAUGCCCCUUAUGUCCAGGGCUUCACGCAUGCUACAAUGGCUGGUACAGAGAGUGGCGAGCCUGUGAGGGUGAGCGAAUCUCGGAAAGCCGGUCUCAGUUCGGAUUGGGGUCUGCAACUCGACCUCAUGAAGUCGGAGUCACUAGUAAUCGCAGAUCAGCAACGCUGCGGUGAAUACGUUCCCGGG